rnacentral:sRNA from 1 species
GCCGGGUUACGGUGCCCA